GACGAACGCUGGCGGCGUGCUUAACACAUGCAAGUCGAACGCUGAAGCUCAGCUUUUGUUGGGUGGAUGAGUGGCGAACGGGUGAGUAACACGUGAGUAACCUGCCUCCUUCUUUGGGAUAACGCCCGGAAACGGGUGCUAAUACUGGAUAUUCACUGGUCUUCGCAUGGGGGUUGGUGGAAAGGGUUUUUCUGGUGGGGGAUGGGCUCGCGGCCUAUCAGCUUGUUGGGGGGGUGAUGGCCUACCAAGGCUUUGACGGGUAGCCGGCCUGAGAGGGUGACCGGUCACAUUGGGACUGAGAUACGGCCCAGACUCCUACGGGAGGCAGAAGUGGGGAAUAUUGCACAAUGGGCGCAAGCCUGAUGCAGCGACGCCGCGUGAGGGAUGGAGGCCUUCGGGUUGUGAACCUCUUUCGCUCAUGGUCAAGCCGCAACAAUGGUUGUGGUGAGGGUAGUGGGUAAAGAAGCGCCGGCUAACUACGUG
rnacentral:rRNA from 1 species